AAAUAGGUAGAGAACAGGCUUCAUAAUUCUGCCUAUAAUAUAGACUGCCUGUGUCAUGGACCCCUCUUGUAGACAGGAAAAUUAGUAAAUCUAUAAGUUAUGGGCAUGGUCUUUGCUAUAGGAAUUUUGUGAUAUACAUUUUGGUUGCUCAGAAGAAGCCUGUUCUUACCUUCAGGUUCUUAAAGAAACCAUGCACAAAGAAUACGAGAAAUGUAAGAUUGCAUGAAGGCAUAUUGAUGACUAUUCAGGAAACUACUGACCAGAAAGGUCCUUUUAAAUUCCUAUUGAACAAGGAUAACCAGCAGACCCUCCCUCCAUCAGCCAUCAGCCUGUUCUACCAAUAAUCAAAGAAACUAAUCAUACUGAAAGAAAUAACAUGAUGUCACUUGUUAAUGAGCUGAGCACUGGGGAAGGAUGGAAGCUAUUACAACAGAAUAUGGGCAGAGAGAUUUUCUUUAUGGUUCUGUAGAUUUAUGAAAGCAAGAGAAAGAGGGAAAGAGAGCAGGACAGAGCAACAGAGAAAGAAGGGAUGUUUAUCAACAGUCCAUUCAGACACAAGUCCUCUGAGAUUGAUGACUGCAGCUUGGUUUUGAUCAGAUAGAAGUUGGGUUUCAGUCUGUGAAGUGACUGGACCCUCUUUGGCCCCUGGCCUGUGCAGUCUCUGACCUCCCUAACCUCUGCGGGGCUUCCUUUAUGAGGGUUCCCAGCCAGAUGGUCAAGUCAUCAAAGCUUUAUGAGCACAAACUCCUUUUACCACUUCACAGUUUCUUCAAGCCUAAAAGCAGAAAGGGUGGCAGCAUGCGGAAGAGAAGCUAAAAGGUGUUAAAGACAGAAAACAAGGCAGAGAAGAAUCUUGCCUGUGGAACACAGAGGAUUAUUUCUCUGCAUCUGAGAAUGAAAACUUUAAAAAUUCUGGGAGGUCUUUCCAACAAUUUCCAAACAAUGGAUGAAUCAGUUAAUUCGGACAAAAAAAUUACUUGAUUUUUUUAGAAUUAAAAGAAAGAACAAGAGUUGGAACAUUCUAUUGCCCAAUUAUUUGAUUGAAAUGACAGGAUCAACCUGUUGUUUAGGCUUUGUAUAGACAGUCACAGCCUGUCCCUACUCGGUCAGCAGGAAGCAGAGAAUUUACAUGCUUUACUGCAUCAUUUUUUAAAUAGAAAAAAUGAAGAGGGAAACUGUAGAGCUGGGUUCUGAUCAUCUAGUUUGACAAUCUUCAACAAUAUAAUUCCCCAUAUAAUUAGUCCAUUUCUCUUCAUCUAUGAAGCUAUAACCACGGUUAGGACUAGAGUUGGUGAACUUUGAAUUUUCAUCAUUUCAGCCAAUCAGUCAUAAAUAUUAAAAAUUAAAACUUGUCAAGCCCAUAUUACAUGAAUUCAGCAUA
rnacentral:lncRNA from 1 species